GACGAACGCUGGCGGCGUGCUUAACACAUGCAAGUCGAACGGAAAGGCCCUGCUUUUGUGGGGUGCUCGAGUGGCGAACGGGUGAGUAACACGUGAGUAACCUGCCCUUGACUUUGGGAUAACUUCAGGAAACUGGGGCUAAUACCGGAUAGGAGAUCCUGCUGCAUGGGGGGGGUUGGAAAGUUUCGGCGGUUGGGGAUGGACUCGCGGCUUAUCAGCUUGUUGGUGGAGUAGUGGCUUACCAAGGCUUUGACGGGUAGCCGGCCUGGGAGGGUGACCGGCCACAUUGGGACUGAGGGACGGCCCAGACUCCAACGGGAGGCAGCAGUGGGGAAUAUUGCACAAUGGGCGGAAGCCUGAUGCAGCAACGCCGCGUGCGGGAUGACGGCCUACGGGUUGUAAACCGCUUUCGCCUGUGACGAAGCGGGAGUGACGGUAAUGGGUAAAGAAGCACCGGCUAACUACGUG
rnacentral:rRNA from 1 species